ACGGGUGAGUAACACGUGGGAACGUACCCCUUUGUUCGGAAUAACCCUGGGAAACUAGGGCUAAUACCGGAUACGGCCGGAAGGCGAAAGGUUUACUGCAGAGGGAUCGGCCCGCGUCCGAUUAGCUAGUUGGUGUGGUAAUGGCGCACCAAGGCGACGAUCGGUAGCUGGUCUGAGAGGAUGGCCAGCCACAUUGGGACUGAGACACGGCCCAAACUCCUACGGGAGGCAGCAGUGGGGAAUAUUGGACAAUGGGCGCAAGCCUGAUCCAGCCAUGCCGCGUGAGUGAUGACGGCCUUAGGGUUGUAAAGCUCUUUUACCUGGGAAGAUAAUGACGGUACCAGGAGAAUAAGCCCCGGCUAACUUCGUGCCAGCAGCCGCGGUAAUACGAAGGGGGCUAGCGUUGUUCGGAUUUACUGGGCGUAAAGGGCGCGUAGGCGGACUGAUAAGUCAGGGGUGAAAUCCCAAGGCUCAACCUUGGAACUGCCUUUGAUACUGUUUGUCUUGAGUUCGAGAGAGGUAAGUGGAACUGCGAGU
rnacentral:rRNA from 1 species